rnacentral:ncRNA from 12 species
UAAAGAUGAGGAUAGAGAAUGUGUCACUAUCGCCCCUUGUAAAAGGUAGGAGAUGUGGGAAAUGGCAGACCCACCGUUUUUU